rnacentral:rRNA from 1 species
CUGGCGGCAGGCCUAACACAUGCAAGUCGAGCGGAAACGAGUUAACUGAACCUUCGGGGGACGUUAACGGCGUCGAGCGGCGGACGGGUGAGUAAUGCCUAGGAAAUUGCCCUGAUGUGGGGGAUAACCAUUGGAAACGAUGGCUAAUACCGCAUGAUGCCUACGGGCCAAAGAGGGGGACCUUCGGGCCUCUCGCGUCAGGAUAUGCCUAGGUGGGAUUAGCUAGUUGGUGAGGUAAGGGCUCACCAAGGCGACGAUCCCUAGCUGGUCUGAGAGGAUGAUCAGCCACACUGGAACUGAGACACGGUCCAGACUCCUACGGGAGGCAGCAGUGGGGAAUAUUGCACAAUGGGCGCAAGCCUGAUGCAGCCAUGCCGCGUGUGUGAAGAAGGCCUUCGGGUUGUAAAGCACUUUCAGUCGUGAGGAAGGUUUAUGCGUUAAUAGCGUAUAGAUUUGACGUUAGCGACAGAAGAAGCACCGGCUAACUCCGUGCCAGCA